rnacentral:tRNA from 1 species
GGGGAGGGCUCAUGGGGCGAGAAGGCGCGCGCCUGAAAUGUGUGUACACGGCAGCGUGGGGGGGGUCCAAACCCCCCCCUCGCCGCCA